rnacentral:rRNA from 1 species
AGAGUUUGAUCCUGGCUCAGGAUGAACGCUAGCGACAGGCUUAACACAUGCAAGUCGAGGGGCAGCACGGUGUAGCAAUACACUGGUGGCGACCGGCGCACGGGUGAGUAACACGUGUGCAACCAACCCCGUACCGGGAGAUAACCCGCGGAAACGUGGACUAACAUCCCAUGAUACUCGAGAGCCGCAUGGCUCUCGAUUUAAAAUUCCGGUGGUACGGGACGGGCACGCGCGACAUUAGGUAGUUGGCGGGGUAACGGCCCACCAAGCCGACGAUGUCUAGGGGUUCUGAGAGGAAGGUCCCCCACACUGGAACUGAGACACGGUCCAGACUCCUACGGGAGGCAGCAGUGAGGAAUAUUGGUCAAUGGGCGAGAGCCUGAACCAGCCAAGUCGCGUGAGGGAAGAAUGGUCUAUGGCCUGUAAACCUCUUUUGUCAGGGAAGAAUAAGGAUGACGAGUCAUUCGAUGCCAGUACUUGACGAAUAAGCAUCGGCUAACUCCGUGCCAGCAGCCGCGGUAAUACGGGGGAUGCGAGCGUUAUCCGGAUUUAUUGGGUUUAAAGGGCGCGUAGGCGGGACGUCAAGUCAGCGGUAAAAGACUGCAGCUAAACUGUAGCACGCCGUUGAAACUGGCGCCCUGGAGACGAGACGAGGGAGGCGGAACAAGUGAAGUAGCGGUGAAAUGCAUAGAUAUCACUUGGAACCCCGAUAGCGAAGGCAGCUUCCCAGGCUCGUUCUGACGCUGAUGCGCGAGAGCGUGGGUAGCGAACAGGAUUAGAUACCCUGGUAGUCCACGCCGUAAACGAUGCUCACUGGAUCUUGGCGAUACACUGCCAGGGUUCAAGCGAAAGUAUUAAGUGAGCCACCUGGGGAGUACGUCGGCAACGAUGAAACUCAAAGGAAUUGACGGGGGCCCG